AUUGAACGCUGGCGGCAGGCCUAACACAUGCAAGUCGAACGCCCUAGCAAUAGGGAGUGGCAGACGGGUGAGUAACACGUGGGAACCUUCCCUAUAGUACGGAAUAGCCCAGGGAAACUUGGAGUAAUACCGUAUACGCCCGAGAGGGGAAAGAUUUAUCGCUAUAGGAUGGGCCCGCGUAGGAUUAGCUAGUUGGUGAGGUAAUGGCUCAACGAGGCAACGAUCCUUAGCUGGUUUGAGAGAAUGACCAGCCACACUGGGACUGAGACACGGCCCAGACUCCUACGGGAGGCAGCAGUGGGGAAUCGUGGACAAUGGGCGCAAGCCUGAUCCAGCCAUGCCGCGUGAGUGAUGAAGGCCUUAGGGUUGUAAAGCUCUUUUGCCGGGGACGAUAAUGACGGUACCCGGAGAAUAAGUCCCGGCUAACUUCGUGCCAGCAGCCGCAGUAA
rnacentral:rRNA from 1 species